CAAACAGCUUUGACAAGGAAAGUUAGCAAAUCAUCUUCAUACAGAGAAGCUUCAAAAGCUGAGAGAAGCAAGAUAGAUAUUUACUAAAAAUCACCUUUGAGCUAGAAAUUGUGAUUAAAAGCAAUUUCAGGGACAGCCCUUUAUAGCGACAGCGUAUCGUUUAUUAAUAAACCGCACGCUUUUAAGAUACUAAUUUUUAGUAAAUAUAGGUGGUACCGCGCAAAAAGCGCCCUAUUU
rnacentral:ncRNA from 1 species